UGUGAGAGCAAGCAGGCAG
rnacentral:misc_RNA from 1 species